UCCCUGGUGGCUCAGAUGGUAAAGCGUCUGUCUAUGAUGCAGGAGACCCAGGUUCGAUCCCUGGGUUGGGAA
rfam:TPA: Bos taurus chromosome X, whole genome shotgun sequence.